UCCGUAGGCGGGCAGCUAAGUCAGUGGUGAAAGUCUGCAGCUCAACUGUAGAAUUGCCAUUGAUACUGGUUGUCUUGAAUUAUUAUGAAGUGGUUAGAAUAUGUAGUGUAGCGGUGAAAUGCAUAGAUAUUACAUAGAAUACCAAUUGCGAAGGCAGAUCACUAAUAAUAUAUUGACGCUGAUGGACGAAAGCGUGGGGAGCGAACAGGAUUAGAUACCCUGGUAGUCC
rnacentral:rRNA from 1 species